AGGGUAAUAUUGAACAAUGGACGGAAGUUUGACGCAGCGACGCCGCGUGGAGGGUGUAGGCCUUCGGGUUGUGAACUCCUUUUUCUCGCGAAAAAGGCACAGUUUUGGCUGUGUUGAUGGUAGCGGGGGAAGAAGCGCCGGCUAACUACGUGCCAGCAGCCGCGGUAAUACGUAGGGCGCGAGCGUUGUCCGGAUUUAUUGGGCGUAAUGUGCUCGUAGGUGGUUCGUCGCGUCUGUCGUGAAGGCCAGCAGCUUAACUGUUGGCCUGCGGUGGGUACGGGCGUGCUUGAGUGCGGUAGGGGUGACUGGAAUUCCUGGUGUAGCGGUGGAAUGCGCAGAUAUCAGGAGGAACACCGAUGGCGAGGCAGGUCACUGGGCCGUUACUGACACUGAGGAGCGAAAGCGUGGGGAGCGAACAGG
rnacentral:rRNA from 1 species